UCCCGAGUUGGUUUGAUGUUUUCAUUACAUUCUGCGUUGAAAUGAAUGUUUGAUCAUGAACCGAUAUGAAGUUAGAUUGUGAUUCAUCGGUAUCAUUUAAAUCCAAACAGACUAGACACGUGUAUUCAGGACAGAGCGUUUGGGACUAUUAUAUGGAUGCUUUAAGUAAUAAAUGAUCAUCAGAUGACGUUUCCAACGUAAACGAAAAAUAAUGAUUUCUGGAACCACCAACUGAAUAUCUUAUAUUUAUGACAUACCAGUACAUAUAUAUUGUUUUCGCCAAGUUUCCUGGAGGAAUCAUUAGGAAAGAAAUGUUUCAUUGCAUACAGGUAAUGUCUUUCCAAUUUUCAUAUUGAUUAAAACAACCCCCACCACAUUGCUUGGGAAUAAUGUUUAUCAUUUCAUAAUUUUACACGUCAGUUUAAACAUUCUGUAAUUUUAUAUUUGUGUAAUCAAUGAUGUCGCUAUGUAAUAUAUCGGUAGAUCGUGCAAUGCUUCAAGAACCUGGCCAACUGCCUGUUCCCAUGGAGACUGAGGAGAGUCGUCCCCAAAAAGUCGGCAUCUGAGUCUGACUACGAAAACGAGGAGGAGAAGGAGAUCGUGGAGUCUGCUGUCGCCCUAGCUAUCAAGGCAUCCCUCACCUCGGAGCUGGAUGACUUAUUGUAAACAUCCAGAUUUUAACUUAAUAAAGAGAGUUAUUUGUACCUGAAGAAUCAGGACCAGUGGGAUGGAUACAAGCAGCCAAGUUUGUGCUUGGUGCAACUAUCUGUAUCAAGAAGGAUUGUAUGAUGUGUAUUUGAAGUUGGAACUGCGUGAAGGAUUGAAGGAGAGGUCAUCAAAGAUUACUGUCUUGCAAAUG